AGUUGGUAAGGUAAUGGCUUACCAAGGCGAUGAUAGGUAGGCGGCCUUAACGGGUGGUCGCCCACACUGGGAUUGAGAUACGGCCCAGACUCCUACGGGAGGCAGCAGUCGAGAAUAGUCUACAAUGGUCGAAAGACUGAUAGUGCGACGCCGCGUGAACGAAGAAGCCCUUCGGGGUGUAAAGUUCUUUUAUAUGUGAGCAAUGCCUUUUAUGUGAAUAGCAUGAGAGGAGCGAUAUUAGCAUAUGAAUAAGCAACGGCUAACUCCGUGCCAGCAGCCGCGGUAACACGGGGGUUGCAAGCGUUGUCCGGAAUUACUAGGCGUAAAGGGCAGGUAGGCGGAUAGAUAAGUUUUUUGUCAAAGGCGACGGCUCACCCGUCGUAUGGCAGGAGAUACUGUUUAUCUGGAAUGCGGUUGGGGAAGACAGAAUUCCUGGUGUAGCGGUGGAAUGCGCAGAGAUCAGGAGGAAUACCGAAGGCGAAGGCAGUCUUCUAAGCCGUUAUUGACGCUAAACUGCGAAGGUGUGGGUAUCAAACAGGAUUAGAUACCCUGGUAGUCCACACAGUAAACGAUAAUCACUAGGUGUCGGUGUCGUAGAGACUUCGGUGCCGUAGCUAACGCGAUAAGUGAUCGC
rnacentral:rRNA from 1 species